GUGCUCACUUCAACAGCACAUAUACUAAAAUCAGAAUGAUACAGAGAAAAUUAACAUGAGCCCUGCUAAAGGAUGACAUACAAAUUUGUGAAGUGUUCCAUAUUUUU
rnacentral:snRNA from 1 species